UUUUCACUAUGGACUUUGUGAAGGUAGGAUGUUUUAUCGCGUACGGUUGGGUGUUGGUGGCAAGGACGAAAAGAACUGGAAUCUUUUUGUUUCCGGAAGCUUGGUGAAAGGGGCUGGUGUUGUAACGGCGUUUCUCCGUGGCGCCGAUGUCCACGUGGGCUUUGUGGCUGACUCUGCGUCCGGGUGUCGGGACUCACCGGACAGAAUCAGGCCACCGUGGACCGAGGGUUAUAGACCGCGUGUUAUUUCUGCAGGGCUACCGCGGCAGGCCCCUCGGGUCCGCAGAUUUAAGGACCCAGAACUCCGGCCCGCCAUGAGGACUGCGCAAACAUGAUAAAGCUGGAUGGCGGGCUUAAUAUAGAAUAUUGAAGGGAGCGGCCUGUCAUAAGGGUGCAUAUUAGCAGAAGGAACACCAGCAGCUGAGUUUUGGAGCCUGGAACAUUUGUCUUUUCGUGAGGUGCUUUGCUUUAUCCAUUCUCAGGAUUUUGGAAUGGAGCCCUGAAGUGCAGGUUAUAGACCUGGUGGCAGCACCUAAGCCCUGGAGGAGGCUGUAUCUCCCAGAGGAUGAUCAAUUCCGGGGAUCAGUAACUACCAUUGAUUUGGAUUCUGAAAAUCUAAACAGCUUCAACAUUUGGAAACGUGGUCACCUUGUGUAUCAGGCUGUUCACAAGAGAUCAUUCAACAGGCCCGAUUGGUGUCGUUACCCCACCCAACAGGAAUUUCUAUACCUUUUAAUCAUUUUAUGUGUACACAUUGGUUGCCCUUAUAUUGGAAGGCUGAGAUCUUUAAGCCAAAAAUUGUUUCUCUUGAAUAUAAUGUCUAAUACCAUAAUAAACAAUGGUCUUUGGUGA